rfam:Triticum aestivum genome assembly, contig: Triticum_aestivum_CS42_TGACv1_scaffold_592091_7BS
CAGUCGAGCCUUAGUGAAUAUCUACACCAGUAAGUUUUUUUCUUCAUGCCAGAAAUACUUAACAGUGUAGAUACUCCCUAAGGCUUGGUGG